rnacentral:lncRNA from 1 species
AUAUUUAGUCAAACCUUGUUUCACAUUACUGUAGAGUGUAGACUGGUGUUAAUGUUAAUAUCAUCUAAUCUACGACUAAAAUUAUUUUUGGAUGUAGAGUGAUUUCAUAGCAGCUCGGCAUUUGUAUUGUACAACAUAGUGGGCUCUAUAUAGAUGUCCGGUAAUUCUUAAUAGACAAUUGCAUGUUCUACUGAUGCAAACCUUUUCUUUUCAUGCCUCUAUGAAAUUAUGUCGGUUGUUUU